rnacentral:rRNA from 1 species
GCCUACGGGGCGCAGCAGUGGGGAAUAUUGCACAAUGGGGGAAACCCUGAUGCAGCGACGCCGCGUGAGUGAAGAAGUAUCUCGGUAUGUAAAGCUCUAUCAGCAGGAAAGAUAAUGACGGUACCUGACUAAGAAGCCCCGGCUAACUACGUGCCAGCAGCCGCGGUAAUACGUAGGGGGCAAGCGUUAUCCGGAUUUACUGGGUGUAAAGGGAGCGUAGACGGCAGCGCAAGUCUGGAGUGAAAUGCCGGGGCUCAACCCUGGGACUGCUUUGGAAACUGUAUUUCUAGAGUGUCGGAGAGGCA